rfam:Bacteroides sp. CAG:462 genomic scaffold, scf14
UGCAGCCGGGUAAGUCCUAUACGGCCAGCUCCCUUCGAAUCCUCCAGGGCUUGAUCGCAGCAAAGGUAGUUGGUUGUAGCGGCGCGAUAUAGUUAGCUUACCCACCC